rnacentral:tRNA from 1 species
GGGUGAUUAGCUCAGCUGGGAGAGCACCUCCCUUACAAGGAGGGGGGGGUCGGCGGUUCGAUCCCGUCAUCACCCACCA